rnacentral:tRNA from 1 species
GGCCUGUUAGCUCAUCUGUACAGACCAUGGUGCUCAUAACACCAAGGUCAUGAGUUCAAUCCCCAUACAGGCCA